AGACUCAAAGCUACAAGGUCCAGAUCCUUCAUUGGUUUCAUAAAUCAAGUAGAGAGAGAAGUCAAAGGAGAGAAAAAUUAACAAAAAAGAAUAUGACUAAUCAGGCGAUACUGUCCAACAUCCCAAUCAAUUCGAUCCAAGUAAUUUCAUCAAGUCAUGAUUGAACUAGUAUAUAAAUAGUUUAAUAAAAAUCAUGGGUGACCAAAUCUAAUGAUAUGCGAGUCUGAUCAAGGUGGAUACCAACAUGCUGCCCAAUGACCAC
rnacentral:lncRNA from 1 species